rnacentral:rRNA from 1 species
UACGAAGGGAGCUAGCGUUGUUCGGAAUCACUGGGCGUAAAGCGCACGUAGGCGGAUUUGUCAGUCAGGGGUGAAAUCCCCGGGCUUAACCUGGGAAUGGCAUUUGGGACUGCAAGGCUUGAGUGCGGCAGAGGAGACUGGAAUUCCUGGUGUAGCAGUGAAAUGCGUAGAUAUGCGGAGGAACACCGAUGGCGAAGGCAAUCCCCUGGGCCUGUACUGACGCUCAUGCACGAAAGCGUGGGGAGCAAACAGG